rnacentral:lncRNA from 1 species
GGCAAUUCUCAUUGUAAAUCACUUUGGAAAUUAUAUGAGAAAUCCUUUCUUCUGCUGAUGCCAAUAUCCAGCACGGGAAACUCUCUGCCAAAGUCACUUCUCACGGCCUUUCCCCUCUCCAUCUAACUUUCUUCCUCUAGAAGACCAUUAGAGCUAGUAUCACUCACCAUAGGCUCAACCUCCAUCACCGAUAUCCCCCUAAAAUCCACCUCUGUAUGCUGUUGUCAAACCGCAAGCAUUACCUCCGCUGCAUCUAAUUUAGAUUUCAUCUUUGGAUCACCUUCUAACAUCUCUUCCGCUGCCUUCAAUAUUCAUCCAUGGCUGGAGCAUCUGUAUCAUUUGGUAAUCAGAGCAAGGUUACGCUCCAAAUAAGUUCAUUCCCUUGAUUCCAAACUGUCAAUCAAUUCCGCACUGUCAUAGCUUCAUGCGUGUACUGUUUGAUUGAUUUUUGUUCUGUUUUUCUAUGUAAGUGAAUGUUUGAUUUGUUCACAAUCAAUAAAUGCUAGUUUUAUCAUUUUAAUCGGUGCCUUCUCUUGUUUGAAGUCUCAUCCUAUCGUUUAAUCAUUUUCCAGUCGUGUUGAGUCAUGUGCAACGUUGUUGUUGUUUUAAAAUUGUCAAUCAGUUUUUUGACUUUGUUUCAGCGUGAAUAUUUUUUAUUUUAAUUGUGUUGAGCAUUAGCUAAUUCUAUGUUGAUCAUAUAAGGCAAUGGAGUUUCAUCCAGCCUUGAUCAUUUGAAUAAAAGCGAUGCCAAUAGUGUUUUCAGCAGCAGAUCUGUACUGCAACUCUGUUUUUAACAUGUUUUUUUUUGCUGGUUUUUACUGAUGCACGUUACUGUAUCCAGAUUUAAUGGUUGAACACCUUUUCCAAAUCUGUUUGAUGAUGCUACAAGUAUCUAAAGAUAUUACAACAUCUAUUCAUCACAUAUUUUCUAUUUGAGUAGUUAAAUUACUCAAAAUCUGGAUUAAGAAUGUGUUGUUGUCAUUGUUAUAACCUAUAGCUUGGCACCGUGCUAAUUGUCCUUGGUUGUGUCAUAGGAUCUCUAAAAUCCACUAGCUUGAUUUUCUCAAGCUAGAUCUUGAGUUAGGAUUCAUUAUUUUACCAAAUUGUUGGUCUGAAAACUUUGCAUCCACCAAAACUUACUGUACCGUUCUGCAUUUUAUUGAUUUCUGCAUAAUUUGGCAACUCAAGUGGUGAAAUUGUGCAUCUACUAUUUUCUGUGCAUUGAACACAUUUGGACAACUUUAUUUGACCAUUUAAAAUGUGUCUACAUUGUUUUUCUGGUCAUUCUUCCAACAAUGCACAAAAUCAUCAUGCCACUUCCCAAUUUUGAGUAAAUUUCUCAACUAGUGCAGUCAUAAUCUAAAUUCAAUUGUGUUUCCACUGUUUUCUUGAUUGAACACUCAUAUAAAGUGAAUUCAAAUGUGUCUUCACUGUUCAUAUGGUCAAAUAUGCACUUAUUCAUAGAAAAACCAAUUAAACCACUAGAUUUUGACCAAUUUUGGAAGUGUAGCAGUGGAAUUCUGUUGUGAUUAAUUUCUUGGCUGCAUAAAUGAUUGUACAUUAUCCUUUUCAUCAUAUAAACAUGCUAGAAAUCAUAAAACAUAGAAUAUUACAGUAGCCUUGCUGUUUUCAAAAUUUCCAGCCAUCAAAAAUAGUGCAUACAACUUUGAUAUGCAGUUUAACUUGAGUUGAGUCUUGAUUGGAGUGUUUGGGAUUGGCAAGAGCUGGGAUAACUUUUCUCUAUUCUUUUACUACCAUUGUACCUUGCAAGUAAAUAUUAAAAAGCUAAUCAUCCCUGCAAUCCCUAUUGAACCCGUAACAGCAAAGGCAGAAAACUCAAUUUCUGCAUUCUUUGAGUCAUUUCAUCGAACAGUUUGCCAAAUUUUGUGAAAUCAUCAUCAAUUCGUUAAACUGCAACAUGUUUUUUUUUUCUUGCUUUUUAAAUCCAAUCUAGAGCAUGUCUUAAGUUCCUUUUGAGUGCUACCUUUGUUCAUAGCCUUAAUUGCUAGUUUUUCAUUGUUUGAAAUUCCUGCACUGAAACUGUUUGAUCAAAUGACAGCAGUGCAACCUGGUUGUGAUAUUUUGAUUAAUAGUAGUAUCGGUGAUGGAGGUUGAGCCUAUGGUGAGUGAUACUAGCUCUGACGGUCUUCUAGAGGAAGAAAGCUAGAUGGAGAGGGGAAAGGCCGUGAGAAGUGACUUUGGCAGAGAGUUUCCCGUACUGGAUAUUGGAAUCAGCAUAAGAAAGGAUUUCUCAUAUAAUUUCCAAAGUGAUUUACAGUGAGAAUUGCCAUGGAUUUAUAGAAUCAUCCAUCAAGCUACAGCGUGGCAAUGAUGGCCGUAAUAUGUGGAUCUAAUGCCACGUGUAGAUCAAAGAAAUGUGUUGUGUGUGUUCUAGAAUAAGCACGUAAUACAUGUGUUGAAAAAGAAGUCUUCAUGUGUUUCCAAGUUGCAACCCCUUCAUUACUAAUCUCACCCCCUUCCUUUGUGGAAAUGACUCUUUUACCCUUCUCCUUGGGUUGGGUUGUUGGUCUUUAUUUAUUGGGCUUGGGCCCCGCGUAUCACUCUUGGACAGGCAUGGGAUAGAUUUAAAGGCUUGUUGAGAAAGACCCCAGUCCAUGGGUUUGAUAAGACCUCAUAUUUACUUGCUUUCCUUGGAGGCCUACGCACUCAGUCUAAGAUGAUGUUAGAUGCUGCAACUGGAGGCAGUAUAAACAGAAAGACUGAGGAUGAAGCUUAUGAUUUGAUAGAAAUUAUGGCUGACAAUGAAGAAACACAUGGUGUAUACGUUGAUGAUGUUAAAGAAUUUUCGAUGAUACAAAAUAAUAUAAUCGCACAGCAGUGGGAGAAAGUGACAAGAACACUUGCUGAUUUAUCACAGGCAGUUAUAGAAGCUUCAUUUGCCGCACAAAAGCUUCCUUUCACACCUAUUCAGAGAAGUGCAGAAUCUGAAGAAACUUUCCAGAGAAUUAUGAAGAGAAGUGUAUUUGUUGUUGAUUGCGUGGAGAAAAGUAAAGGGGAAGAAGCAUGUGAGAUUGUUACUAGAAGCGGGAGAAUUUUAAAAGAAAGAGAGGUUGAGAAAAAAGAAAAAGAAAAAGAAAGUGUCGAAGAAAAUAAUGGUCAAAGGGAGGAGUGUGAGAUAGAGAAAAAUAUGAUGAACAAGAAGCAGGAAGAGGAAGCUGAAAAAUUUAAAGAGAAGGAGUAUGAAAACCCACUGUUGUACCCGAAAAUAUAUUCCAGAAAAGAGAAAGAGAAAUAAUUCGAGCGUUUUAUGGAGAUUUUCAAGAAAUUGGAAAUAACUAUGCCAUUCUCGGAGGCACUCCAGCAAAUACCAUCUUAUUCAAAGUUUUUGAAAGAAAUCAUUACGAAAAAAAGAAAGUAUGCUAAAAAAGAAACAAUUGAGGUAGAAGGGAAUUGCAGCGCUAUCAUCCAAAGGUCAUUACCUCCUAAAUUACCUGAUCCAGGGAGUUUCACUAUUCCUUGUACUAUUGGAGAGUUAGAGGUUGGGAAAGCUUUGAUUGAUCUAGGAGCUAGUAUAAAUUUGAUGCCUCUUUCCAUGUUCAAAAAGAUAAAAGGGUUAGAGAUCAAACAAACAAGAAUGGUUCUUCAAUUAGCAGACAAAUCCCUCAACUACCCUUAUGGAAUUGCUGAAGAUGUGAUAGUUAAGGUUGAUAAAUUUGUAUUUCCAGUAGACUUUGUUAUUAUGGAGAUGGAAGAAAAUGGAGAUGCACCUUUGAUUCUCGGACGACCCUUCAUGAAAAAUGCCAGAAUUGUCAUUGAUGUUGAAAAGGGGAAGCUUAAAGUCCAGGUACAAGAUGAAGAGGUGAACUUUGAUGUGUUUCAAGCAAUGUCACAUCCCAAAGAUGAUAAGUCAUGCUUUCAGAUCGAUAUUGUGGAAGAACUCUGUAUGAAGCAAGGAAAUAGAGUUCGUAACGCAUCCAUGUUAAAAAGGACUUUGAUCAACGAAUGUGAGGAUUUGAACGAAGAGGAGGAUAAAAUGCAGUAGAAAUGUGUUCAGGAAUUGGAAACAGGAAAAGAAGUUCCAGCAGAAAAAUUCCUUUUUGAACAGAUGGAGCUUAAAGAAAAAAUUCCAAAAGGUAAGGUUGAACUGAAGGAGUUGCCAUCACAUUUGAAAUAUGUGUUUUUGGAAGAUAAUGCAAGAAAGCCAGUCAUUAUUAGUACUUCAUUAUCUCCGGAAGAAGAAGGAAAGUUGGUGGGGGUUCUAAAAGCAAAUAAAGGUGCCAUAGGCUGGUCAAUUGUUGAUCUCAAAGGUAUAAGUCCAACUUAUUGUAUGCAUAGAAUUUUGAUUGAAGAUGAUUAUAAGCCUGUAGCUCAACCACAAAGGAGACUUUAUCCUGUCAUGAAAGAAGUUGUGAGAAAGGAGGUUUUGAAGCUGUUAGAAGCAGGAAUUAUUUAUCCUAUUUCUGAUAGCCAAUGGGUGAGUCCAGUUCAAGUCGUACCAAAGAAAGGAGGGAUGACUGUCAUUCAUAAUGAAAAGAAUGAGCUUAUUCCUACAAGGACAGUCACUGGGUGGCGGAUGUGCAUUGACUACAGGAGAUUAAAUACAGCCACCCGGAAAGAUCAUUUUCCCUUACCUUUUUUGGAUCAAAUGUUAGAAAGAUUGGUUGGACAAGCUUAUUAUUGCUUUCUUGAUGGAUAUUCUGGAUAUAACCAAAUAAUGGUGGACCCUGAAGAUCAAGAGAAAACAACUUUUACAUGUCCAUUUGGUAUAUUUGCAUACAAAAAGAUGUCGUUUGGGUUGUGUAAUGUUCCAGCCACAUUUCAGAGGUGUAUGCAAGCAAUCUUUGCUGAAUUCAUGGAAAAGAGCAUCGAAGUCUUCAUGGACGAUUUUUCAGUUUUUGGGGAUACCUUUCAAAGAUGUUUGACCAACUUGGAUGUUGAUGAAGGUUGAACAACAAUUAUUUUCAUAUGUCAUUUUAGACCUAAUUACGCCCUUUGCUACAUAGAAUGAACCUAGAAUCAAGCAAAACUCAAUAAAUGAGUUUGUAGAGAGUCAAAAGUUGUUUUUAGCGAUAUUAUGCUUGUUUUGCAUUGUUUUGUAGCUAUUUUG